rnacentral:lncRNA from 1 species
CUCCCACAAGCCACUGGGCCCAGUUCCCGGAUGGGCCGGGCUAAGUUGCAUGCUGGGACCUUUCGGAAACGCCGGGCUUCUUGAAGGCUCCACAUAGCUCCGGACGCCGCCAAGGGUCUUUGGCAUCCCGGUGCCACCAACACGGAAGGUCUGAUCUUUCUGGUCCAAAGAAAUUGCUGGUUGGCUUCGGUCUCCACAGAGACCUACGCCUCCCACUGUCAACCAUGAUGCUGCACAUCCGGCCUCAGCCACUCAAACCCCAGUACCCAGCAUCCUACUUGGUUCUAUGAGAAAACAGCUUCAGAUUCUACACAAGUAAGAUUGUGGGUGUUUUG